GAUUUCUGACGGACCGGGUUGGCCCGCUUUCGAAUAGAGAGUGAGUGCCGAUUCGAGUUAGUCAUCCUUCUAGAUAGCCAUGCCUACCGUUCAUUCGGAUGGGCGUGUGUGGUCUAGAUCUUUUACUUUGAAAAAAUUAGAGUGUUUAAAGCAGGCUUUUGCUAUGAAUACAUUAGCAUGGAAUAAUAAUCUAGGACUUCGGUUCUAUUUUGUUGGUUUCUAUAACUGAAGUAAUGAUUGAUAGGGAUAGUUGGGGGUGCUAGUAUUGGCCGGCCAGAGGUGAAAUUCUUGGAUUCGGUCAAGACUAACUUAUGCGAAAGCAUU
rnacentral:rRNA from 1 species